UACGUAGGAUCCGAGCAUUAUCCGGAGUGACUGGGUGUAAAGAGUUGCGUAGGUGGCAGAGAAAGUCGUGAGUGAAAUCUGGUGGCUUAACCAUUCAGCUGUUCACGAAACUUCUCAGCUCGAGACCGUUAGGGGUAGCUGGAAUUUCUAGUGUAGGAGUGAAAUCCGUAGAUAUUAGAAAGAACACCGAUAGCGUAGGCAGGCUACUGGGGCGGUUCUGACACUAAGGCACGAAAGCGUAGGGAGCAAA
rnacentral:rRNA from 1 species